CCCCAGAGCAGUCCCACACAGCCACCCUGAAGUAUGUUUGAAGAGAAGCCAAAGGGUUAAAAUAAUCACGCUAGUAUUUGAAAUUUUGCCUCUACCACCAGCUUCGUGAUUCUGAUUAAAAAAAUUUGAUUCCUAGUAUCUCCACUGUAGAGUAAAAAUAAUGGCAAGAUUUGUCUCAUAGGGCUGAUAAGGGAUGAAAUGAACAGGAACCAGUGAUCAUUUUGACUCAAGCCAGGUGAUGACGGACAGUACCAGGUGAAUUCAAUAUUUAACUAAUUGAGGAGGUAGCAGAAGCUGCAGAGGAUCAUGGGAUAGUCGGCAAAUACAGGCUUUGCCACCAGGCUGACUGCGAAUGUUGCAAGUUUGGGACUCUUCACUGAAGAUUUUGCUUAGGAAAGGUACUCUAAUUCUUGACUGAGAGAUUUACUUGGAAAAUGAGAAAUUCCUGGACUACACUACUUGCCUAAAGUUUCUUCUGGUUGGAGUCAGUCCUUAAGGCUCUAAGAUUUGAAGGAUUUCUCCACCUCUCUGACACUUGUGCAGACAUCAUAGGUCCUGGUUGCACCAGUGGCGGGCACCAGGAAAUCUUGGUGUGGAAUUUUUGGUCCCCUUGGAAUGGAUUCUGAAAAUACAAGAGAGUUGAAAUAUGUCUCCUCAAGAAGGAAAUUGAAUAUGUAAAACUUCCAGCAAAGAAAAUUCCAGAGUAAAAUGAAGCCACAGUUUAUGUAAAGAAGACUUGCAAUUUUAACUUGGCCUGAGCAGUGAGCACACGGAUCUCUAACAUCCUGUCAACGUAAUUGCAGGGUCACAGCCAUCAGAUGGAAAUGUACCCCAAAGCAGGGAUUAAAGUACCAUGAGCUUAGAAACUCUGCAAGCUAUAAGAUCUGCCCCAAGGUUCUCACCCAACUGAGUUUUGUGGAGUGAAAUUUGAAGAUGCACAGUUCAGCUACCAAAAGAGAUUGUAAAGAAAUUGCAUUAAGGAAGAUCUAAGUUCAUGUUCUACACUGAAGUUCCUCAGCCUCAGUACUAUUGACAGGGAGAUUAUUUUUAUUGCAGUCUCUACAUCAUUCCAGUGGUCAUGUAUGGAUGUGAGAAUUGGACUGUGAAGAAAGCUGAGUGCCGAAGAAUUGAUGUUUUUGAGCUGUGGUGUUGGAGAAGACUCUUGAGAGUCCCUUGGACUGCAAGGAGAU